rnacentral:rRNA from 1 species
GGUGUAGGGGUGAAAUGCGCAGAUAUCAGGAGGAACACCGGUGGCGAAGGCGGGGUUCGGCGCCCGUACUGACGCUGAGGAGCGAAAGCGUGGGGAGCGAACAGGAUUAGAUACCCUGGUAGUUCACGGCCUAAACCGGUGGACACUGGUGUGGGCAACCUUUUAUGUCGUGUGCCCGCCAGCUAACGCAUUUAGUCCCCCCCCUUGGGAGUACGGCCGCAAGGGUAAAACUCAACCGAUUUGACGGGGGCCCGCACAAGCGGCGGACCAUGUGGCUUAAUUCGACGCAACGCGAAGAACCUUACCAAGGCUUGACAUACACCGAAAACGUCAGGAGACAGCGCCCCCCUCGUGGUCGGUGUACAGGUGGUGCAUGGCUGUGGCCAGCUCGUGUCUUGAGAUGUUGGGUUAAGUCCCGCAACGAGCGCAACCCUUGUCCCGUGUUGCCACCAUGGCCCUCGUGGUGAUGGGGACUCACGGGAGACCGCCGGGGUCAACUCGGAGGAAGGUGGGGACGACGUCAAGUCAUCAUGCCCCUUAUGUCUUGGGCUGCACACGUGCUACAAUGGCCGGUACAAUGAGUUGCGAUACCGUGAGGUGGAGCGAAUCUCAAAAAGCCGGUCUCAGUUCGGAUUGGGGUCCGCAACUCGACCCCAUGAAGUCGGAGUCUCU